rnacentral:rRNA from 1 species
UACGUAGGGGGCAAGCGUUGUCCGGAAUCACUGGGCGUAAAGCGCACGUAGGCGGAUUGCUAAGUCAGGGGUGAAAUCCUGGAGCUCAACUCCAGAACUGCCUUUGAUACUGGCGAUCUCGAGUCCGGGAGAGGUGAGUGGAACUGCGAGUGUAGAGGUGAAAUCGUAGAUAUUCGCAAGAACACCAGUGGCGAAGGCGGCUUACUGGUCCGGUUCUGGACGCUGAGGCGCGAAAGCGUGGGGAGCAAACAGG